UUUUAACCUAUGUUUUAAUCCAAACAUGGUCGAAAAGGUUGGCGCACAUGCAUCGCCGCCCCUUUCAGUUUUCACCAUCGCCGUGGGGCACCUCGCCAUCAGUUUUUCCCACUCAGUCUUCCUCUUUACCUCCUGUCCUUGUGUCUUCAAGCUGUCGUGUUCUUCUCUUUCCUGUCCCUUUUGAUUUCUCGAGCGCAUUUUCCUUCUCCGUCCGAGGUUCACUGCUGUCAACUUCAACUAGAGGACCCACCUCCUUUUUUCGCCGUCACUUCUUUCCCCUCUGGUUAUUCUCUGCGGUCUCCGAUUGCUAGUAUGCGUUACUAUUUUCAAUUGCUUGAAUCUAGCGUGAUUUCUCUGGCCGUGUCGUCUGAUUAAGAUGGUUCAACAUAGGUGUUUGGUUGGUUUGCUUGAAGAACUGAAGAUAGUGGGAGCGUGGGGCAAUUGGGAGAAGUGGUUUUUAUAAUAGACUAUCAUUCUUGGCUAGUGGAGGUGUAGUGGCUGGCAAUAUUAAUGGAGAGAAUCUGACUCUAUGCCUGCAGGAAUAUCAAAUGUUUUGAUGCACUGCCGUCAUGACACCAAUAGACCUCCUAGCAUUAUUUGUGACUUGGAAUUAGCUUCCUCCUUCACAGCCUUAGCUUCUUCAGAUUCUUAGCCUAAGCUUGACUGCCAAAAAAAAAAAAAAAAAAUCUUAGCUUGACAGGAGCUGCAUUGUGUCUUUCAGCUCUGCUGUAUUGACAAGGAUAAUCCUGCCAAAUUCUUCCAGUUAAAACCUGAAUUUGAUGACUCAUUAGCAACGAAGUUGGUGCUAGCAACCUUGUGUUGUUCAUCUAUGCACAUGAUCUUUGACACUUGCAGAUUAUACUGCACUGGUGCAGCGAUUUCACUGAAUUCCUUGAUUGCAAGAUACUCCCGCACUGGCCAAAUUGAGAAUGCUCGGAGGGUGUUUGAUCAAAUGUGUGAAAGAAGCAUUGCUUCUUGGAAUACCAUCAUUUCUGGGUACUUACAGAACAAUCAGCCUCAUGAAGCCAAAUUUCUAUUUGACAAGAUGCCUGAGAGGAAUACAAUUUCUUGGAAUGGUAUGAUUUCUGGAUACAUAAAAAAUGGGAUGGUUAAUGAAGCAAGGAAAAUAUUUAAUAUGAUGCCUGAGAGAAAUGUUGUUUCGUGGACUGCAAUGGUUAGGGGCUAUGUGCAACAGGGUAUGAUUGCAGAGGCAGAAUCACUUUUCUGGAAAAUGCCUGAAAAGAAUGUGGUGUCAUGGACAGUAAUGUUGGGUGGACUUCUACAAGAAGGUCGACUUGAGGAUGCAUGCAAGCUAUUUGAUGCCAUGCCUGUGAAAGAUGUUGUGGCCAGGACUAAUAUGAUUGGAGGAUAUUGUGAGCAAGGCUGUUUGGCUGAAGCUCGCCAGCUAUUUGAUGAAAUGCCAAAAAGGAAUAUCAUUACUUGGACAACAAUGAUUUCAGGGUAUGCUCGUAAUCAGCAAGUGGACAUUGCUAGGAAGCUCUUUGAAGUGAUGCCUGAGAAAAAUGUGGUGUCUUGGACAGCGAUGCUAAUGGGUUACACUCAUUGUGGGCGGAUGGAAGAGGCUUCAGAGCUUUUUGAUGAUAUGCCAUUAAAGUCAAUUGUUGCUUGUAAUGAAAUGAUCAUGGGUUUUGGUCUUAGUGGGGAGAUGGCCAAAGCUAGACAGGUUUUCGAGCAAAUGGAGGAGAGGGAUGAUGGAACAUGGAGUGCCAUAAUUAAGGUUUAUGAGCGAAAAGGAUUUGAGCUGGAAGCCCUUGACAUGUUUAUACGGAUGCAAAGAGAAGGGGUUGGGUUGAACUUCCCUUCUUUGAUUAGUGUUCUUUCUGUUUGUGCUAGUCUUGCUUGUCUUGAUUAUGGUAGAGAGGUUCAUGCUCAGUUGGUCAAGUCCCAAUUUGAUCAUGAUUUAUAUGUUGCCUCGGUUUUGAUUACAAUGUAUGUCAAAUGUGGUGAUCUUGUGAAAGCAAACCAGGUCUUCAAAAUGUUCACUUUUAAGGAUGUUGUCAUGUGGAACUCUAUGAUCACAGGUUAUGCUCAGCAUGGCCUGGGACAAGAAGCUUUAAAUGUUUUCCAUGAAAUGUGUUCCUCUGGAGUUUCACCAGAUAAUGUAACCUUUGUUGGAGUUCUUUCAGCUUGUAGUUACAGUGGAAAGGUGAAACAAGGGCUUGAAUUCUUUGAAACAAUGAAAAACAAAUAUCAAGUGGAGGUAGGAAUAGAACAUUAUGCUUGCAUGGUUGAUUUACUUGGCAGAGCAGGCAAGGUAAAUGAAGCAAUGAAGCUAAUACAAAGCAUGCCAAUGGAAGCUGAUGCUAUUAUUUGGGGUGCGUUGCUAGGUGCAUGCAGAAUCCAUAUGGAUUUUGAUGUGGCUAAAGUUGCAGCAGAGAAACUAGCACAGCUUGAACCUAAAAAUUCUGGGCCUAAUAUCUUGCUUUCAAAUCUCUAUGCCUCUAGAGGAAGAUGGGGUGAUGUUGAAAUGCUAAGGAAAAAAAUAAGAUCUAUGAAUGUGAGCAAAUCGCCUGGCUGUAGUUGGAUUGAGGUGGAGAAGAAGGUGCAUAUGUUCACUAGGGGAGAUAGCAAAGGCCAUCCUGAGCAGCACUCUAUAAUGAGAUUGUUGGAAAGGUUAGGUGGAUUGAUAAUGGAAGCUGGCUACUCUCCAGAUGGUAGCUUUGUGCUUCAUGAUGUGGAUGAAGAAGAGAAAACUCAUAGCUUAGGUUAUCAUAGUGAAAAAUUGGCCAUAGCAUAUGGACUUUUAAAAGUGCCCCAAGGGAUGCCGAUCAGGGUAAUGAAAAAUUUACGGGUUUGUGGUGAUUGCCAUUCUGCAAUCAAAUUAAUAGCAAAAGUAACUGGACGGGAGAUUGUUCUGAGGGAUACUAAUAGAUUUCAUCACUUCAAGGAUGGAUAUUGUUCUUGCAAAGACUAUUGGUGAUUGCUGGAAACUGGAAAUGAAAUGCAUAUGGCCAAGCAUAGAAUUUGAUUGAAAAAUGUUGCGGAUAUCAUAAAUUGGUUGAGUAUUAGUUCAAUUAUGUGAAUUGGCUAGCAAAUGAAUCUUUCCUGAAACAAAUUGACAAAGAUUGAUGGUUGUGGUACAGAUUUUGGAAUGGUAUAUGUCAAAAACUCUUCUUUUCCUAUUUGGAAUAGUUCAUAAUUGGUGGAUGUUGAUUUUUUAACAGUUCUUUUAUCCUUUAUUGCUUCCACAAAAAAUGUCAAGCCCCUCACUAGAAAACUUUCAUCUUCUUACCCAAGCACUUUGCUGAUCUUUAUAACUUGCAAGUCUUUUGAAUGGAUGUGAAUAUGAUUUGCAUGUCAAGAUGUAGGAUUUAUUUGGUUCUUUUCAGCUUGCUUUAUUUUGAAGGAUUUAGGUGUUGAUGGAACAGCUAUGAAUGCUGGGGCAGCUAUUUUGGUGGAUUGAGGUGAAGAGGCAGAAGAAUUGAGGAGGGACUUAGGUAGUGAUGGAGGAGGUACCGAGGUCAAAAGGUCAAGGGAAAACUUUAUACUAAGUGGAAUGAUAAGGGUUAAUGCAUUAACUCAACAAUUUGGUGAGCUAUAUUAGAGUGAUGCUUAAAGCUAAUGUGCCCUUCAAUAUGGCAAAUUGGGCAAAGAUACCGAGUCACUAAAGGACAUAAUCUGGAAUAUGUCAUUGGUAAGAUAUUUUUUUAUUACAGCUUUAUAUAUCAACGAAUUUGUUAUAUUAACCUAAUUAAUUUUGCAGUUGGAAUUUGAGCACGAUGAGAGUCAAAAGAAAUUUGUACUAUAAAAAACUGAGACAACUUGUUGCAAUUUCAAAGUAGGGGUCACCCAAAAAUUCCCUUACUCCUUAACCUAAUUAAUUUUGCAGUUGGAAUUUGAGCACGAUGAGAGUCAAAAGAAAUUUGUACUAUAAAAAACUGAGACAACUUGUUGCAAUUUCAAAGUAGGGGUCACCCAAAAAUUCCCUUACUCCUGAGUUUUGUGAUUAACCUAGAUUAGUGGACUACUUUUUUUUUUUUUUAUUUAACUUGUAGUAGUGAAGAGUUUAAGGUAAUAUUUAUUUCUCAAUGUUAGCGUGCACGCGCACAUAGGUUGAAAUAUUUUUUGUUUUGGUAGUUAUUAUACGUUAUGAACAAGGAGAGGAAAAGGGGUAAGGAUCAAAUGGUUUUAAAUCUUGUGGCAAGCUUUUGGUUUUGGCUUGAACAGAAAAUCAGGGAAACAUUUGGGAUUCCCAUGUGAAGGAGGUUGUUGACAAAAUUGUAAGUAGUAUUGAUCAUGGAAAGGUUUAGCUAUUGGUUGUGCACGAAUCGAAUUAUGACAUGCUUGUGCCUACACCGAUGCAAAAAUUUUAUAAGAAGAACUGAGCAACUUCGUAGCCUGGACUAAUUAUCUAUUACGAGUUUCACAACCGAAGAAAAAGGUAUAUUAAUUAAACAUUUAUCAUCUUUGUACUUUCUAUCUAAAUUGAGCACUAAUAUUGUGUUUGUAAUCUAUUGACAAGUUUUUAAAGUCGUCCAAUAAUAAUAAUGGAAAGGGGAAGAGCAAGAAAAGGAAGACCCCUGAGGAGGCUAAGGAUUUUAUUACAUGUCCUUGGAAUUGAUCUAUCAUAUAUUCCCAGGAUCAACCUACACUUCCUCCUCUUAUAAAGGCUAUCCCUGUACCCACCUCGAAGGCUUCAUUGAAAUUUGUGGUUGUUGGAUAGGGAGACACAGUGAAAGAUUAGAAAUAUUAAAAUUUUUAUCUUGAUGUAAACCGAACGAAUUUGUUUAAGUCAAAGUAAAACAA